GAUGAACGCUGACAGCAUGCUUAACACAUGCAAGUCAACUUGGUGGCAGACGGGUGAGUAACGCGUAAAUAACUUGCCUCACAGGUAGGGACAACAUUUGGAAACGAAUGCUAAUACCUAAUACUGUGAGAGAGCUUUGCGGCCCAUUAGCUAGUUGGAGAGGUAACGGCUCACCAAGGCGAUGAUGGGUAGCCGGCCUGAGAGGGUGAUCGGCCACAAGGGGAAGGAGAAACGGCCCUUAAUCCGACGGGAGGCAGGGGGGAGGAAUAUUGGUCAAUGGACGGAGUCUGAACCAGCCAAGGAGCGGGCAGGAGGACGGCCUAGGGGUUGUAAAGGGUGUUGUAUGGGGAUAGAGGACCAUACGAAUAAGGACCGGCUAAUUCCGUGCCAGCAGCCGCGGUAAUAC
rnacentral:rRNA from 1 species